rnacentral:rRNA from 1 species
AUUGAACGCUGGCGGAAUGCUUUACACAUGCAAGUCGAACGGCAGCACGGGGCAACCUGGUGGCGAGUGGCGAACGGGUGAGUAAUACAUCGGAACGUGCCCAAUCGUGGGGGAUAACGUAGCGAAAGCUACGCUAAUACCGCAUACGAUCUACGGAUGAAAGCGGGGGAUCGCAAGACCUCGCGCGAAUGGAGCGGCCGAUGGCAGAUUAGGUAGUUGGUGGGGUAAAGGCUCACCAAGCCGACGAUCUGUAGCUGGUCUGAGAGGACGACCAGCCACACUGUGACUGAGACACGGCCCAGACUCCUACGGGAGGCAGCAGUGGGGAAUUUUGGACAAUGGGCGCAAGCCUGAUCCAGCCAUUCCGCGUGCAGGAUGAAGGCCUUCGGGUUGUAAACUGCUUUUGUACGGAACGAAAAGGCUCUGGUUAAUACCCGGGGCUCAUGACGGUACCGUAAGAAUAAGCACCGGCUAACUACGUGCCAGCCGCCGCAGUAAAAC